GACGAACGCUGGCGGCGUGCUUAACACAUGCAAGUCGAACGAAGUGGCUAACGGGUGAGUAACGCGUAAUCAACCUGCCCUUCAGAGGGGGACAACAGUCGGAAACGACUGCUAAUAACGCAUACUGAAGUAGGGGAUUGCGUCGGAUUAGCUAGUUGGAGGGGUAACGGACCACCAAGGCAAUGAUCAUUAGCCGGUCUGAGAGUAUGAACGGCCACAUUGGGACUGGGACACGGCCCAGACUGCUACGGGAGGCAGAAGUGAGGAAUCUUACGAAAUGGACGAAAGUCUGACGGAGCAACGCCGCGUGAGUGAUGACGGCCUUCGGGUUGUAAAGCUCUGUUAAUCGGGACGCGGUACCGGAAUAGAAAGCCACGGCUAACUACUUGCCAGCAGCCGAGGUAAUAC
rnacentral:rRNA from 1 species